CCUUCAUCUUUUCCAUGCCGUGUGUGUUCACCCUGGCCCUCCCAGCAGCCUGGGAAGGGCAGAACACUGCACAUACAAGAGGGCCGUUCCCAGUCCCCACAUUCCAGAUUCAUCUGUCACCAGACCCACGAGAGGAGGCAGACUGGUUCCAGGAGGAUGAGAGCCCUUGUUCUGACACCUGUGUCUGAUUCCAGUGAUUCCAGGGCCUACAAAUCCUCUCUGGACUACACCAAACGAAGUCUGGGAAUUUUCAUUGACCUCUAGAAGAAAGAGAAGGAGGCACAUGCCUGGCUGCAAGCAGGGAAGAUCUAUUACAUCCUGCGACAGAGUGAGCUGGUGGACCUGUACAUCCAGGUGGCACAGAAUGUGGCCCUGUACACAGGCGACCCCAACCUGGGGCUGGAGCUGUUUGAGGCAGCUGGAGACAUCUUCUUCAAUGGGGCCUGGGAGCGGGAGGAAGGCCUGUCCUUCUACCGGGACCGGGCCCUGCCCCUGGCAGUGACUACAGGCAACCGCAGGGUGGAGCUGCAGCUACAGCUGUGCAACAAGCUGGUGUCACUGCUGGCCACACUGGAGGAGCCCCAGGAGGACUUGGAGUUUGCCUACAUGGCCCUAGCACUCAGCAUCACUGUGGGUGCGUCCCCUGAGCCCCCGCCCUGCCAGGACCCACACUUUGCCAGAGCCCAGCCUCCAGGUCUGCAGGCCAGGAGCUGAAACAGCUACUGGAUUUUCCUGGUCUCCUGUCCAGGCAGGCAGCUCUGCCCAACUGGCUUCCCCGUCCGGCUGUGGGGCACAGCCCGAGGUCUCUCAUGCAGUGCAGAGCUUCCUGCCUGACUGAGCUCUGCUUCCUCUGCCUGUUCCCGCUGCUGACCACAAGGGCCGCCCAGUGUGCCCUCUGCCUUCCAGACAUCCCAGGCAUCUCGUUGGUCCCUGUAUGUGUCAGGCUGAGUGGCACAUUCCCUUUCUCUUGUGCCCUUCCCACCGUCAUCAACCACACGGCUCUCUGGCUGAUAAAAUCCCAGUUCCCCUUCCAGCAGUCUGCCCCUUAAGGCCGUGCAUCCCCUGGUGCUGUGCCAGGGUCGUCUGUCCCCCUGCAGAGACAGGGAACCCUAGGCAGGCCACAUGCCCCAGCGCCUUGUGCCCCAUGGCCCAGUACACAGUAGGUGUGCAGCUGACUCCCCAAGGUAGGGGGAUCUGAUCAUGACACACCCAGGAGGAGUCGGAUGUCACGUCUGUGGGUUGCCUGGAGCCGGGGAGCCCGGGAGCACCUGCACUGCAUGGCUUUUGGGCUCCCCUGGUUAAAACCAGUGAGCAAAGGCAGGUGGCUAUGUGUAGGCACAGAACUGGGCCAUCCAAGUCCGACUUUGCCAAAGCCUCUCAGUAGACAGGGGCAGGCCUUAUUAGUUCUGCUUUGCAGAUGGAAAAGUGAGUCUGGGAACCUGGAAGGGAAUGGCCAGAGCUGCCCAGGUGACCACAGGUGCCUGGAGACAAGCCACGUGUGCUGCCUGGGGGUCUGUAUACCUGCUCCUGAGGGGCAUGUUCCCUCCCUGCCCCAGAGAGCCACAUCCUCACACCUGCCCCUUUGGCCUGCACCCCAGGGGACCGGCCGAACGAGCGUGUGGCCUACCACCGGCUGGCCGCCCUGCACCACCGGCUGGGCCAUGGCAAGCUGGGGGAGCACUUCUACCUCAAGGCCGUUUAGCUCUGCAACUCGCCGCUGGAGUUCGACCAGGAGACCCUCUACUAUGUGAAGGUGUACCUGGUGCUCAGUGACAUCAUCUUCUACGACCUGAAGGAUCCAUUUGAUGUAGCCGGGUACUACCAGCUGGCACUGGCAGCCGCCGUGGACCUGGGCAACAAGAAGGUACAGCUGAAGAUCUACACGCGGCCGAUCACCAUCUCCCACAACUUCCUCCUGGACUGCGAGAAGUGGCUCUUCUACCAGAAGGCCAGGACCUUCGCCACAGAGCUCAGUGUCCACAGGGUCAACCUACCUCCUCUGCCACUCUGCGGGUGGGCCCCCUGGUUGGCCUCCAGCCACCCUCGCUGAGGACAGUAUCCGAGGGAGUGGGUUUUGUGCAAGGAGGAUGAUCUCCUGCCUCUCCUGGUGUCUCCCGUAGCUCGUUUUCUGGGUAAUGGAAGCAUAAAAGCAGGGUUCAAAUAGCAAUAAAUGGUUUUUUUUUUUGCAAAAACAUA